rnacentral:rRNA from 1 species
AUGCACGCUGGCGGCGUGCCUCAUACCUGCCAGUCGCGCGAACAGACGAGGAGCUUGCUCCUCUGACGUUAGCGGCGGACGGGUGAGUAACACGUGGAUAACCUACUUAUAAGACUGGGAUAACUUCGGGAAACCGGAGCUAAUACCGGAUAAUAUAUUGAACCGCAUGGUUCAAUAGUGAAAGACGGUUUUGCUGUCACUUAUAGAUGGAUCCGCGCCGCAUUAGCUAGUUGGUAAGGUAACGGCUUACCAAGGCAACGAUGCGUAGCCGACCUGAGAGGGUGAUCGGCCACACUGGAACUGAGACACGGUCCAGACUCCUACGGGAGGCAGCAGUAGGGAAUCUUCCGCAAUGGGCGAAAGCCUGACGGAGCAACGCCGCGUGAGUGAUGAAGGUCUUCGGAUCGUAAAACUCUGUUAUUAGGGAAGAACAAAUGUGUAAGUAACUAUGCACGUCUUGACGGUACCUAAUCAGAAAGCCACGGCUAACUACGUG